rnacentral:rRNA from 1 species
CUGACGAGUGGCGGACGGGUGAGUAAUGCUUGGGAAUCUGGCUUAUGGAGGGGGAUAACGACGGGAAACUGUCGCUAAUACCGCGUAUUAUCGGAAGAUGAAAGUGCGGGACUGAGAGGCCGCAUGCCAUAGGAUGAGCCCAAGUGGGAUUAGGUAGUUGGUGGGGUAAAGGCCUACCAAGCCUGCGAUCUCUAGCUGGUCUGAGAGGAUGACCAGCCACACUGGAACUGAGACACGGUCCAGACUCCUACGGGAGGCAGCAGUGGGGAAUAUUGCGCAAUGGGGGGAACCCUGACGCAGCCAUGCCGCGUGAAUGAAGAAGGCCUUAGGGUUGUAAAGUUCUUUCGGUAUUGAGGAAGGUUGAUGUGUUAAUAGCACAUCAAAUUGACGUUAAAUACAGAAAAAGCACCGGCUAACUCCGUGCCAGCAGCCGCGGUAAUACGGAGGGUGCGAGCGUUAAUCGGAAUAACUGGGCGUAAAGGGCACGCAGGCGGUUAUUUAAGUGAGGUGUGAAAGCCCCGGGCUUAACCUGGGAAUUGCAUUUCAGACUGGGUAACUAGAGUACUUUAGGGAGGGGUAGAAUUCCACGUGUAGCGGU